UUCCCAAUCCAAAAACCCUAUCGUACGUUCUUCUUCUCCAUCACGAAAUUCCUUCAAUCCCCAAUCUCUCUCAAUCCCCAAACUCUCUCAAUCCCCAAACAAACUCUCUCAAUCCACAAACAAAGCUUCUGAAUUCGAAGAACCCUAAUUGAAACCCUUGUGAAUCCCUUCUCCGCUCAAGAAAUUCCCUCUUCGCUCACGAAAUCUCACGAAUUUCUUCUGGUUGUAUAUCUUUUUCUUCGGCCACCGUAACACAAUCGGUGGAAGCCUCCGACUACGUUUCACAGGCGCUCGUACUCCCUCUGAUUACGGCCGCACAAACUCCCUCCGACUACGUUCGUACGUUCGGCUUGACAACUACUUUGUUGACACUAAGUUUCUCAGCCGUUCUUUUCUUCUCAACGUUUGGCCGUCGUUUCGCUCUCGUUUUUGUUUAUUGUUCUCUAAUAGUUUCAUCCGUCGUCGGCACCAAUAACCCCUGACUUUCUUUGGUAAGUCAAGUUCAAUGGAUAAAAAAUGGAUGAAUGCCGAUCGACGGUCAAAAGAGUACGAGAAUGGGGUAUUGGAAUUUGUUAAGUUUGCUGUUGAACACGUCAAAGACGUCGGUCGAAUGAAAUGUCCUUGUUUGCGUUGUUGUUAUGGGGAUCGGGUUGACGCAGCUGGAUUGAAAUCGCAUUUAUUGACGCAUGGGAUUGAUCGAAGUUAUAAGUGUUGGAUAUAUCAUGGUGAGAAAAUUAACGAUAAUGUUGAACCGGGGGAGAAAAGUAAUACGAAGACCUAUGCUCCAGACGACAAUGACACGGAUACAUACGAUUGUGAUCGAGUCGAAGAGAUUGCAGAAGCACUUGAAGAAGAUCUUAAGGACUGUCCCAAAAUGUUUGAGAGAUUGGUAAGCGAUGCAGAGAAACCGCUGUAUAAAGGUUGCAGUAAAUUCACAAGACUGUCUGCGGUAUUAAAGUUGUACAACUUAAAAGCGGGCAAUGGAUGGUCGGAUAAAAGUUUCACAGAGUUAUUAGCCCUCAUGAGAGAUAUGCUUCCGGAGGAUAAUGUUCUUCCUAAUCGAACCUAUGAGGCCAAAAAAAUGUUGUGCUCUAUUGGCAUGAGCUAUGAUAAGAUACAUGCUUGUCCAAACGAUUGUGUUUUGUUUCGAAACGAAUAUGCAUCGUUAAUUGAGUGCCCUAAAUGCGGUUUAUCUCGAUAUAAGAAAAAAUUGUCUCCAGCAAAAGUCUUAUGGUAUUUUCCUAUAAUUCCGAGAUUUAGGCGCAUGUUUCGUAGUGAAACUGAUGCAAGACAUUUGACUUGGCAUGCAGAUGAAAGGAUUAUUGAUGGAAAGUAUCGACAUCCGGCAGAUUCACCACAGUGGUCAAAAAUAGAUGAUGAUUAUCGUGAUUUUGGAGCAGAUGCAAGAAAUCUUCGAUUGGCAUUAUCUACUGAUGGAAUGAACCCACAUGGUCUUCAGAGUAUCUCACAUACCACAUGGCCUGUGAUUCUUAUGAUUUAUAACCUACCCCCAUGGCUAUGUAUGAAGCGUAAGUAUAUGAUGUUAUCUAUGUUAAUUUCUGGGCCUAAACAACCAGGGAAUGACAUAGACGUAUACUUGACACCUUUGAUCGAAGAUUUAAAGAUUUUGUGGGAGAACGGUGUGGAGGUUUAUGAUGGAUAUAGGAAAGAAAGUUUCAAUUUGAGGGCGAUGUUAUUUGGCACAAUUAAUGAUUUUCCAGCAUACGGAAAUCUAUCAGGGUACAGCAUUAAAGCUCAAAAAGCGUGUCCUGUUUGUGAAGAUGAAACCGAUACGACGCGAUUGAACCUUUGUCAGAAGAAUGUGUGUCACAUACGCAAUUAGGCCUCGGUGUUAUUGAUACAUACAUAAGGUUUUUGUAUGAAAAAUUGAUGCACCUGAGUGGAUUGAGGCAAAGAUUCGCUUUCUUAGCUCCCUUCAUUACCAACUUAGGGUUAAUCAUAUCUAAACCGGAUGAAGUCAUGGCGUAUGUACUCAACCGUUUUAUGGCCAGCAUAAAUUCAGAAAAGUUGUUCUUUUUACCGUUUAAUACCGGCAACGGUGGACAUUGGUUGUUGGUCGCGAUUAAUCCUAUCAGUGAAGUUGUAUAUUUUCUGGAUUCCUUACACAAUCCAGUUAGUACAUACGAAGCUAUGAAGAAGUUGGUUGAUACCAUUAUACAAGUUUUUCGAGCACAAAGAGGAAGUCAAGUACCAAAGAGUAAAGCCAACAACAUCACAUGGAUUCAAGUGGAGUGUCCUGGGCAGCGUAAUGAAGUAGAUUGCGGUUUUUACAUGUUGCAGUUUAUGAAAGAAAUUCUUCUUUCGAAUCAAAUAGAGAUUCCGUCCAAGUAUUUUGAUGAAUUCAAGUGUGCUACUUACUCAAAAUCUAAGUUGGAUGAACUUAAGGAGGAAUGGUGUCAAUUCAUGAUUGAGUUGAAAGUUGUAUAGGAUAUUGAAGGGUGAAAAGGUUAGCUGGCAAGAAGAAAAAGUAGAUAUUUAGCAUCCUUUUGACUUGUGUAAAAAAUAACAAUGUUUUGGAUAAUGCAAUUGUUUUCAUUGAAUUGGAUGUAAUUUUGUUGUUGUUUAUUAAUAUAUUCUUAGCAUAUAAAAAAUCCAAAGUUUAUUCGUA